rnacentral:rRNA from 1 species
GAUGAACGCUGGCGGCGUGCCUAAUACAUGCAAGUCGAGCGAACAGACGAGGAGCUUGCUCCUCUGACGUUAGCGGCGGACGGGUGAGUAACACGUGGAUAACCUACCUAUAAGACUGGGAUAACUUCGGGAAACCGGAGCUAAUACCGGAUAAUAUAUUGAACCGCAUGGUUCAAUAGUGAAAGACGGUUUUGCUGUCACUUAUAGAUGGAUCCGCGCCGCAUUAGCUAGUUGGUAAGGUAACGGCUUACCAAGGCAACGAUGCGUAGCCGACCUGAGAGGGGGGUAGGCCACACUGGAAGUCAGCCACGGUAGAGACGACUAGGGGAGGCAGCAGUAGGGUAUCUGCCGCAAUGGGCGAAAGCGUGACGGAGCAACUUAGCGGGAGUGAUGAAGGUCUUCGGAGCGUAAAACUCUGUUAUUAGGGAAGAACAAAUGUGUAAGUAACUAUGCACGUCUUGACGGUACCUAAUCAGAAAGCCACGGCUAACUACGUG